rnacentral:lncRNA from 1 species
AUAUAUAUAUAUAUAUAUAUAUAUAUAUAUAUAUAUAUAUAUAUAUAUAUAUAUAUAUAUAUAUAUAUAUAUAUAUGUGUGUGUGUGUGUGUGUGUGUGUGUGUGUGUGUGUAUAUAUGUGUGUGUGUGUUUUAAUUGAGCAUGUACUUUAUCGCUCAUUAUUUGUAUUAUUUUAUAGUCUUUGUUGCUCAUCAUUAUCAAAGGUGCUAAUCUUUUUGUACCUGGCUGUAUAUGCUCUGUAUUGCUAUGGGUAUUGGGGAUAUAUGCCAUAUUAUAUAGUGUAUAUUAUUCCUAUAUGACUAAUGUCAACUGUGCUGCUAUUGGUGUUUCAACAAAACAGCUCUGAGGGAUAAUGUAAUGUCGUUAUGAAUUAGGUUAAACCUCAUUCAAACCUCAUUCAAAACAGCUCUAAGGGAUAAUGUAAUGUCGUUAUGAAUUAGGUUAAACCUCAUUCAAAACAGCUCUAAGGGAUAAUGUAAUGUCGUUAUGAUUUAGGUUAAACCUCAUUCAAACCUCAUUCAAAACAGCUCUAAGGGAUAAUGUAAUAAGGGAUAAUGUAAUGUCGGAUAAUGUAAUGUCGUUAUCAAUUAGGUUAAACCUCAUUCAAAACAGCUCUGAGGGAUAAUGUAAUGUCGUUAUGAAUUAGGUUAAACCUCAUUCAAAACAGCUCUAAGGGAUAAUGUAAUGUCGGAUAAUGUAAUAAGGGAUAAUGUAAUAAGGGAUAAUGUAAUGUCGUUAUCAAUUAGGUUAAACCUUAUUCUUCUUGUUCGUUAUUUUUUUUUGCGCUAAACAACCGUUUAAUUUUUACA